AGUCCCGUGGUGUAGCGGUCAAGCAAGGUAUUUAAACCCUUGAAUACGAGGCUCUGGACGUGAAUUGGGAGUAACCUCUAGACGCAGGUUCGAAUCCUGCCGGGACUA
rnacentral:tRNA from 1 species